AUGUUAGCGGCGGACGGGUGAGUAACACGUGGGUAACCUGCCUGUAAGACUGGGAUAACUCCGGGAAACCGGGGCUAAUACCGGAUGGUUGUUUGAACCGCAUGGUUCAAACAUAAAAGGUGGCUUCGGCUACCACUUACAGAUGGACCCGCGGCGCAUUAGCUAGUUGGUGAGGUAACGGCUCACCAAGGCAACGAUGCGUAGCCGACCUGAGAGGGUGAUCGGCCACACUGGGACUGAGACACGGCCCAGACUCCUACGGGAGGCAGCAGUAGGGAAUCUUCCGCAAUGGACGAAAGUCUGACGGAGCAACGCCGCGUGAGUGAUGAAGGUUUUCGGAUCGUAAAGCUCUGUUGUUAGGGAAGAACAAGUACCGUUCGAAUAGGGCGGUACCUUGACGGUACCUAACCAGAAAGCCACGGCUAACUACGUGCCAGCAGCCGCGGUAAUACGUAGGUGGCAAGCGUUGUCCGGAAUUAUUGGGCGUAAAGGGCUCGCAGGCGGUUUCUUAAGUCUGAUGUGAAAGCCCCCGGCUCAACCGGGGAGGGUCAUUGGAAACUGGGGAACUUGAGUGCAGAAGAGGAGAGUGGAAUUCCACGUGUAGCGGUGAAAUGCGUAGAGAUGUGGAGGAACACCAGUGGCGAAGGCGACUCUCUGGUCUGUAACUGACGCUGAUGAGCGAAAGCGUGGGGAGCGAACACGAUUAUAUACCCUGGUAGUCCACGCCGUAAACGAUGAGUGCUAAGUGUUAGGGGGUUUCCGCCCCUUAAUGCUGCAGCUAACGCAUUAAGCACUCCGUCUGGCGAGUACUGUCGCAAGACUGAAACUCACACGAAUUGACCGCGGGCUGCGCACAAGCAAUGAAGUCAUGUGG
rnacentral:rRNA from 1 species